GGGGCUGUGACUCAGUGGUAGAGCGCUUACCUGGCAUGUGUGAGGCACUGGGUUCAACCCUCAGCACCA
rnacentral:tRNA from 1 species